UAAGCUUAUCGCCCAGGGAGGGAAGGCCAAGAUAUGUGGCCUUUAUCUCUUUAAUUGGGCGGUACGCACC
rfam:Hepacivirus C strain SL8 polyprotein (POLY) gene, complete cds